UUUUUGUUUAUAAUAUAAAGUCUGGCCUGCCCACUGAAUAUUUUGAAGGGCCGCGGUAUACUGACUGUGCAAAGGUAGCAUAAUCACUUGCCUUUUAAUUAGAGGCUAGAAUGAAUGGUUGAACGAGAUGCAAGCUGUCUCAUUUUUAUAAUUUAUGAAUUUAGCUUUUCAGUCAAAAGGCUGAAAUAUAUUUGGAGGACGAGAAGACCCUAUAGAACUUUAAUAAUUUUAUUUACAUUUAAAUUUAGUUAAUAAUUCUUAUUGUUUAAUAAUAUUAUUUCGUUGGGGUGACGGGAAGAUUAAAUUAACUCUUUUGAAAGUGAAACAUUGAUAUAUGAAUAUUUGAUCCAUUAUUAUUGAUUAUUAGAAUAAGUUACCUUAGGGAUAACAGCGUAAUUUUAUUAGAGAGCCCAUAUCGAUAAUAAAGUUUGCGACCUCGAUGUUGAAUUAAAGAAAUUUUUGAGUGCAAAAGCUUGAAGUAAUAGGUCUGUUCGACCUUUAAAUCUUU
rnacentral:rRNA from 1 species